rnacentral:rRNA from 1 species
UACGUAGGGUGCGAGCGUUAAUCGGAAUUACUGGGCGUAAAGCGUGCGCAGGCGGUUAUGUAAGACAGUUGUGAAAUCCCCGGGCUCAACCUGGGAAUUGCAUCUGUGACUGCAUAGCUAGAGUACGGUAGAGGGGGAUGGAAUUCCACGUGUAGCAGUGAAAUGCGUAGAGAUGUGGAGGAACACCGAUGGCGAAGGCAGCCUCCUGGGCCAGCACUGACGCUCAUGCACGAAAGCGUGGGGAGCAAACAGG